rfam:Dipodomys ordii contig_2696, whole genome shotgun sequence.
GGUGGCUCAGUUGUAGAGUGCUUGCCUUGCAUGCAUGAGGCCCUGGGUUCAAUUCCUCAGCACCA